AUAUGAUCACAAGGGAAUUGAUCCAAAGGAUAUCUGAAUGUCAAAGAGAGUAUGACUAAUAAUCCACUGAGGAAGGGAUGAUUGGCGUGAAAUGGUGCUUCACUAUUGAAGUGUUGAAUGAUUGAUGCUUGUUUGAAGAAGAAGACUUGUCGAUUGAGUGAUUCAAAUUGCACUAAAGUCUAUGAACAAAGGCGAAUACCUUGAGCAACUAGGUCAUGCG
rnacentral:lncRNA from 1 species